rnacentral:rRNA from 1 species
UACGUAGGGGGCAAGCGUUGUCCGGAAUCAUUGGGCGUAAAGAGCGCGUAGGCGGCCCUGUAAGUCCGCUGUGAAAGUCAAGGGCUCAACCCUUGAAUGCCGGUGGAUACUGCAGGGCUAGAGUCCGGAAGAGGCGAGUGGAAUCCUGGUGUAGCGGUGAAAUGCGCAGAUAUCAGGAGGAACACCGAUGGCGAAGGCAGCUCGCUGGGACGGUACUGACGCUGAGGCGCGAAGCGUGGGAGCAACAG